UAUAUCGCACAGAGUUUUUCUAGCUUAUUAAAAUCUUAGGAAACCCGGUGACCGACUGUCGCGUGCAAUGCGUGGUGUUUGUGAAAAUUCGCACUUUCUACUGUUUAUUCCAUGAACGAGGCGUCGACCAUAUAUGAACCGUUGAAAGCAGAAGUGUAAGUCAGAGAAGUUACAUCGCGGAUAACGAACGAUGAAUUAGAAAAGUUCCGUAAAAUGCACACUGACACAAAAAUUGUUACGACUCUGAUAAGCCACUUUCAAGCUUCAACAUAAAACGAUAAAAAGAAAUCGAGAGUGAAGCGUUAAAUUGAAAACAUGAUUUAACGAUAUUAGAUCAACCGAGCGAAAAAUUGCCUUACAUUUUUGCCUCGAACGUCGUUUAAACGCGCAACUAUAACGCACAUAAUUGCCUUCGCUAAUACGCAUGUUUACAGCUGCGCACUUAUUACACGCGCGCAAAGAUCCCCGUUCCUAGCAAUGUGCUAAGAGUCGUAUCUGUGCCAUACGAAUCUGCGUAACGUUGUCUGUUCUCGCCGCGGGGCCGCGGCGGGAUCCUCUUCCUCGCGUUCGGAAGCGUUCCGCCGGUCUGUUUGCCCGCUUUCUUCGGUCUCCGAAAGGAGCCGGCGUUUCUCGCUUUGCUGUGACAGAUUCUCACGGUUGUUUUCCAUCGUCCAUACGAAUUUACAGGCAUUUGCCGCGGCGCGGAACGACCGGGCGCUUUCGCGAACCGUCGCACGAAUCCUCCAACACCGAACUGCCCGAUCGAAUCGAUCGCCGCGAGACACGGAUCCGCGAUCCGCGUAUCACCGACGAGAAUGCAGUAGCCGCGUUUAGGAUGUCGUCAUCUGUUGCUCUUUUACUUUUACCGUAAAUUCUCAGAGCAAUUCUAUUGACAGCGCGCGGUGAGACCUUGCCACGCGUCGAUCACGAUCACUCUUUCGGAAGGAGAUUAACGCAACCGCGCGCGAUCGAUCGCUUUCUCCGCUUCGUAGUGAGCUAACGCUCGGCACCGGCAAUUAACUUAUUAAAAAUUACGCGACCGUUACGAAAUGCAACCGCGUUUUAGAAGAACCCGCGCGCCGCGGCGAAGUCCGCGAACCGUUGAAAUCGAAACGUUUCCUCUGGAAACUCUCAGGACUUGUCUUCGCGAUUCGAGACUUUGUUUACCGACGAAUCGGACGGGUCUGAUCGGAUUUUCACUCACAGAUCGCGACGAGGAGGACGACGAGUCGACGUCGACAGGAAGGAAAUCGAAAACGUGUCUCGAAAAGGAUCCCGCGAUUGUCCUGCGAACGCCGAGUGAAAUAUUCGUCGCGACGCCGCUUUCACCCGGCGAUUCUUCGUCUCCGAUCGUCGCGGGAAGCGACGCUGUUCCGAUUUUCGAGAGAGAGAGAGGGCACGCGGGGUCAAAUUGCGAAAAAGACUCACCUCGCUGCGAAGAAAAUCCUUUCGACGAGAGACGAAGACGAGGUCGAUCUUCCCUCGCGAUUCGACCGGAAGAUUCGCGUCGUGCGCACGCUUGUGAGAAAGGUAUUACAAUGAUGUGAACGUAUGGAAGAAUGGAAAGGAUCGAGAAUUUUAUAAAGAAAAAUCAGAUCAGCUAUUGCCCUACUUUCCAGCAAAGUUAACAUAUUGUAAGUGAAACAAAUCCAUACGUUGUUUAUUUAUGUUUACAUAGCGUCGGAACUAGGCUAUUUUCAAACCUGUGCGUAGAUUUCGCAUGGUUCGUUAGAAGGGACGAGCCAAGAUGGCCAAGAGCCAUCCGAAGAGGGAAUUUAGGGCAAACGUUGCGCAACGGUCCGUUAAAUCAAGGUUUUCCAAUUUUCCUUCUCCCUUUUCGAAGAUUUUCGCGUACAGCAUCCUUCGAAGGUGUAAUAGGAUCACCGAUGACAUAACCAAUAACAAAUAAUAAUGAACUUUAUUGAUUUC